rnacentral:rRNA from 1 species
GUACAUAAUUUUAGAUAUAUUCAUUUUUUAUACAUAAUAAAAGUAAUUACAUUUAAGUCCUUCUUUAUACACUUUUUUCAAAUUGUCUUUUGCUACAUUAAUGUAACUCGCCUAAACUUCUUGAUAAUCUGCACCUUGAUCUGUAUUAUUAGGUAUUGACCUAUUAUGAUAAUAUAUUUAUAUAUUAUCGGGUUACGACGGCAUACAAAAUAUUACAUGAAGUAGAUUACCUUGGUGGUUAUCAAUUAUUUGGUAAGUUCCCCUAAAUUUUAAAAUUACCGUCAUGCUAUUUGAGUUUUAAUCAAGAAGAUUUUAGUCCUCAGUAUUUAAAAAUGGAUAUUGUAUAAAAGGGUAUCUAAUCCUUGUUUAUGAUCAAUAUUUUAAAAUAUAUUAGAUUAUAUAAGAUUAUAAAUGCUAUUUCACCAAAUAUUGACAUAUAAGCUUUAUAUACAUUAUAUAGUUUAUUACUAUAAAAGUCUGACCGCGACUGCUGGCACUUUUUUAGUCAUAGUAUUCAUAAUUGGUUUAUUCUUACUUUCGUAAAUUUGUAAAUUCUCUUUCCUGGUAAAGAUCUUUUUAGUACCAUAAGUAUUCCUAUUUUUUAUAAACAGUUCACCAUA